UCUCAUCGAGGCCCUUGUGGCACACUGUGGACCAGUCACCUGUGCUUAUCCUGGGAGGCAUUCCCAAUGAGAAGUACGUCCUGAUGACUGACACCAGCUUCAAGGACUUCUCUCUCGUGGAGACAGGUAAUGGGCCGACACCAUAACAAGGCUUGAGGGAGACACAUCUCAGAUGACGGUGAAAACCCAAUCGCCACACGUAGAAACUACAAGAAGAUCCUAUGAUCCUGUUUUAGUUCUUUUUCUUUUUUUUCUUUUUGUCAUGGUCUCACUUUCUUACCCAGGCUGGAGUUCAGUGAUGCAAUCUUGGCUCACUGCAGCCUCCAUCUCCUGGGUUCAAGCCAUCCUCCUACCUGAGCCUCCCUAGUAGCUGGGACUACAGGCGCAUAUCACCAUGCCUGGCUAAUUUUUGUAUUUUUGGUAAAGAUGGGGUUUUGCCAUGUUGCCCAGCUUGGUCUUGAACUCCUGACCUCAAGCCAUCCUCCUGCGUUGGCCUCCCAAAGUGCUGUGAUUACAGGCAUGAGCCACCGUGCCCAGCCUUGUUCUUGUUCUCUAACCAAGGAGAUUUCUCCCUGAUGGCCUCAUCUGUUUGUCUCCUCUCUUCCCUGCUCCUGUCUCUCUCCACCACUCCCUUCCACACUGCCCCCAGGAAACGAAUCCUCCCCUGGCUCAUGGUUGGGGUCCAGGUAUAGAUGCUGUAACAAAGAGACCCUGGAAGGGAAUUACUUAAACAGAGA
rnacentral:lncRNA from 10 species